GUAAAUUGCCCGAAUCCUGACACAGGGAGGUAGUGACAAGAAAUAACAAUACAGGGCUACUUCUAGUCUUGUAAUUGGAAUGAGUACAACUUACAUCUCUUCACGAGGAUCAAUUGGAGGGCAAGUCUGGUGCCAGCAGCCGCGGUAAUUCCAGCUCCAAUAGCGUAUAUUAAAGUUGUUGCAGUUAAAAAGCUCGUAGUCGGAUUUCGGGUCGGGCCGAGCGGUCUGCCGAUGGGUAUGCACUGUUCGGCGCGGCCUUCUUUCCGGAGACCGCGGCUACUCUUAACUGAGCGGGCGUGGGAGACGGAUCGUUUACUUUGAAAAAAUCAGAGUGUUUCAAGCAGGCAGCUCGCUCUUGCAUGGAUUAGCAUGGGAUAAUGAAAUAGGACUCUGGUGCUAUUUUGUUGGUUUCGAACACCGGAGUAAUGAUUAACAGGGACAGUCAGGGGCACUCGUAUU
rnacentral:rRNA from 1 species